UACUUCUCUGAGCAAUGAGAGCAACAGC
rnacentral:piRNA from 1 species